rnacentral:rRNA from 1 species
GACGAACGCUGGCGGCGUGCUUAACACAUGCAAGUCGAACGCUGAAGCUUGGUGCUUGCACUGGGUGGAUGAGUGGCGAACGGGUGAGUAAUACGUGAGUAACCUGCCCUUGACUCUGGGAUAAGCCUGGGAAACUGGGUCUAAUACUGGAUACGACAUGUCACCGCAUGGUGGUGUGUGGAAAGGGGUUUACUGGUUUUGGAUGGGCUCACGGCCUAUCAGCUUGUUGGUGGGGUAAUGGCUCACCAAGGCGACGACGGGUAGCCGGCCUGAGAGGGUGACCGGCCACACUGGGACUGAGACACGGCCCAGACUCCUACGUGAGGCAGCAGUGGGGAAUAUUGCACAAUGGGCGGAAGCCUGAUGCAGCGACGCCGCGUGAGGGAUGACGGCCUUCGGGUUGUAAACCUCUUUCAGCACGGAAGAAGCGAAAGUGACGGUACGUGCAGAAGAAGCGCCGGCUAACUACGUG